AUUGAACGCUGGCGGCAGGCCUAACACAUGCAAGUCGAGCGGUAGCACAGAGAGCUUGCUCUCGGGUGACGAGCGGCGGACGGGUGAGUAAUGUCUGGGAAACUGCCUGAUGGAGGGGGAUAACUACUGGAAACGGUAGCUAAUACCGCAUAAUGUCGCAAGACCAAAGUGGGGGACCUUCGGGCCUCAUGCCAUCAGAUGUGCCCAGAUGGGAUUAGCUAGUAGGUGGGGUAACGGCUCACCUAGGCGACGAUCCCUAGCUGGUCUGAGAGGAUGACCAGCCACACUGGAACUGAGACACGGUCCAGACUCCUACGGGAGGCAGCAGUGGGGAAUAUUGCACAAUGGGCGCAAGCCUGAUGCAGCCAUGCCGCGUGUGUGAAGAAGGCCUUCGGGUUGUAAAGCACUUUCAGCGGGGAGGAAGGCGGUGAGGUUAAUAACCUCACCGAUUGACGUUACCCGCAGAAGAAGCACCGGCUAACUCCGUGCCAGCAGCCGCGGUAAUACGGAGGGUGCAAGCGUUAAUCGGAAUUACUGGGCGUAAAGCGCACGCAGGCGGUCUGUCAAGUCGGAUGUGAAAUCCCCGGGCUCAACCUGGGAACUGCAUUCGAAACUGGCAGGCUAGAGUCUUGUAGAGGGGGGUAGAAUUCCAGGUGUAGCGGUGAAAUGCGUAGAGAUCUGGAGGAAUACCGGUGGCGAAGGCGGCCCCCUGGACAAAGACUGACGCUCAGGUGCGAAAGCGUGGGGAGCAAACAGGAUUAGAUACCCUGGUAGUCCACGCCGUAAACGAUGUCGAUUUGGAGGUUGUGCCCUUGAGGCGUGGCUUCCGGAGCUAACGCGUUAAAUCGACCGCCUGGGGAGUACGGCCGCAAGGUUAAAACUCAAAUGAAUUGACGGGGGCCCGCACAAGCGGUGGAGCAUGUGGUUUAAUUCGAUGCAACGCGAAGAACCUUACCUGGUCUUGACAUCCACAGAACUUUCCAGAGAUGGAUUGGUGCCUUCGGGAACUGUGAGACAGGUGCUGCAUGGCUGUCGUCAGCUCGUGUUGUGAAAUGUUGGGUUAAGUCCCGCAACGAGCGCAACCCUUAUCCUUUGUUGCCAGCGGUCCGGCCGGGAACUCAAAGGAGACUGCCAGUGAUAAACUGGAGGAAGGUGGGGAUGACGUCAAGUCAUCAUGGCCCUUACGACCAGGGCUACACACGUGCUACAAUGGCAUAUACAAAGAGAAGCGACCUCGCGAGAGCAAGCGGACCUCAUAAAGUAUGUCGUAGUCCGGAUUGGAGUCUGCAACUCGACUCCAUGAAGUCGGAAUCGCUAGUAAUCGUAGAUCAGAAUGCUACGGUGAAUACGUUCCCGGGCCUUGUACACACCGCCCGUCACACCAUGGGAGUGGGUUGCAAAAGAAGUAGGUAGCUUAACCUUCGGGAGGGCGCUUACCACUUUGUGAUUCAUGACUGGGGUG
rnacentral:rRNA from 2 species